UGGGGAAUUUUGGACAAUGGGGGCAACCCUGAUCCAGCAAUGCCGCGUGUGUGAAGAAGGCCUUCGGGUUGUAAAUCACUUUUGUCCGGGAAGAAAUCGCACCUGAUAAUACCGGGUGUGGAUGACGGUACCGGAAGAAUAAGGACCGGCUAACUACGUGCCAGCAGCCGCGGUAAUACGUAGGGUCCAAGCGUUAAUCGGAAUUACUGGGCGUAAAGCGUGCGCAGGCGGUUGUGCAAGACCGAUGUGAAAUCCCCGGGCUUAACCUGGGAAUUGCAUUGGUGACUGCACGGCUAGAGUGUGUCAGAGGGGGGUAGAAUUCCACGUGUAGCAGUGAAAUGCGUAGAGAUGUGGAGGAAUACCGAUGGCGAAGGCAGCCCCCUGGGAUAACACUGACGCUCAUGCACGAAAGCGUGGGGAGCAAACAGG
rnacentral:rRNA from 1 species